UCCCGUGUGGCUCAGAUGGUAGGGCAUGGCGCUUGCAACCCCGGGGUUGUGGGUUUGAUUCCCACAGGGAA
rfam:Salmo salar isolate Sally breed double haploid chromosome ssa12, whole genome shotgun sequence.